AUUGAACGCUGGCGGAGUGCUUUACACAUGCAAGUCGAGCGGCAGCGCGGGGCAACCUGGCGGCGAGCGGCGAACGGGUGAGUAAUACAUCGGAACGUACCCAGACGUGGGGGAUAACACAUCGAAAGAUGUGCUAAUACCGCAUACGACCUGAGGGUGACAGGGGGGGAUCGCAAGACCUCUCGCGUUUGGAGCGGCCGAUGUCGGAUUAGCUAGUUGGUGAGGUAAAGGCUCACCAAGGCGACGAUCCGUAGCUGGUCUGAGAGGAUGAUCAGCCAAACUGGGACUGAGACACGGCCCAGACUCCUACGGGAGGCAGCAGUGGGGAAUUUUGGACAAUGGGGGCAACCCUGAUCCAGCCAUUCCGCGUGAGUGAAGAAGGCCUUCGGGUUGUAAAGCUCUUUCGGCAGGAACGAAACGGUGAAAGUUAAUACCUUUCAUCAAUGACGGUACCUGAAGAAGAAGCACCGGCUAACUACGUGCCAGCAGCCGCGGUAACAC
rnacentral:rRNA from 1 species